GCGUCCGUAGCUCAGGUGGACAGAGCGCGGCUUUCCGAAGGCCGAGGCCGGCGAUUCGACUUCGUCCGGACGCACCA
rnacentral:tRNA from 1 species